AGACCCGAAACCCGGUGAUCUAGCCAUGGGCAGGUUGAAGGUUGGGUAACACUAACUGGAGGACCGAACCGACUAAUGUUGAAAAAUUAGCGGAUGACCUGUGGCUGGGGGUGAAAGGCCAAUCAAACCGGGAGAUAGCUGGUUCUCCCCGAAAGCUAUUUAGGUAGCGCCUCGUGAAUUCAUCUCCGGGGGUAGAGCACUGUUUCGGCUAGGGGGCCAUCCCGGCUUACCAACCCGAUGCAAACUGCGAAUACCGGAGAAUGUUAUCACGGGAGACACACGGCGGGUGCUAACGUCCGUCGUGAAGAGGGAAACAACCCAGACCGCCAGCUAAGGUCCCAAAGUCAUGGUUAAGUGGGAAACGAUGUGGGAAGGCCCAGACAGCCAGGAUGUUGGCUUAGAAGCAGCCAUCAUUUAAAGAAAGCGUAAUAGCUCACUGGUCGAGUCGGCCUGCGCGGAAGAUGUAACGGGGCUAAACCAUGCACCGAAGCUGCGGCAGCGAACGUAUCACCCAAGACAACUUUACGGAGUUGACGAUUGACGGAGCGAAGCGACGUCAAAGCGUUCAUUAAAGUCGAGUUGGCUUAGGGAUACGUUCGUUGGGUAGGGGAGCGUUCUGUAAGCCUGUGAAGGUGUGUCGUGAGGCAUGCUGGAGGUAUCAGAAGUGCGAAUGCUGACAUAAGUAACGAUAAAGCGGGUGAAAAGCCCGCUCGCCGGAAGACCAAGGGUUCCUGUCCAACGUUAAUCGGGGCAGGGUGAGUCGACCCCUAAGGCGAGGCCGAAAGGCGUAGUCGAUGGGAAACGGGUUAAUAUUCCCGUACUUGGUGUUACUGCGAAGGGGGGACGGAGAAGGCUAUGUUGGCCGGGCGACGGUUGUCCCGGUUUAAGCGUGUAGGUGUGUGUUCCAGGUAAAUCCGGUUCACUUUAACACUGAGGCGUGACGACGAGGCACUACGGUGCUGAAGCAACAAAUGCCCUGCUUCCAGGAAAAGCCUCUAAGCAUCAGGUAACAUCAAAUCGUACCCCAAACCGACACAGGUGGUCAGGUAGAGAAUACCAAGGCGCUUGAGAGAACUCGGGUGAAGGAACUAGGCAAAAUGGUGCCGUAACUUCGGGAGAAGGCACGCUGACACGUAGGUGAAGUGAUUUACUCAUGGAGCUGAAGUCAGUCGAAGAUACCAGCUGGCUGCAACUGUUUAUUAAAAACACAGCACUGUGCAAACACGAAAGUGGACGUAUACGGUGUGACGCCUGCCCGGUGCCGGAAGGUUAAUUGAUGGGGUCAGCGCAAGCGAAGCUCCUGAUCGAAGCCCCGGUAAACGGCGGCCGUAACUAUAACGGUCCUAAGGUAGCGAAAUUCCUUGUCGGGUAAGUUCCGACCUGCACGAAUGGCGUAAUGAUGGCCAGGCUGUCUCCACCCGAGACUCAGUGAAAUUGAACUCGCUGUGAAGAUGCAGUGUACCCGCGGCAAGACGGAAAGACCCCGUGAACCUUUACUAUAGCUUGACACUGAACAUUGAGCCUUGAUGUGUAGGAUAGGUGGGAGGCUUUGAAGUGUGGACGCCAGUCUGCAUGGAGCCGACCUUGAAAUACCACCCUUUAAUGUUUGAUGUUCUAACGUGGACCCGUAAUCCGGGUUGCGGACAGUGUCUGGUGGGUAGUUUGACUGGGGCGGUCUCCUCCUAAAGAGUAACGGAGGAGCACGAAGGUUGGCUAAUCCUGGUCGGACAUCAGGAGGUUAGUGCAAUGGCAUAAGCCAGCUUGACUGCGAGCGUGACGGCGCGAGCAGGUGCGAAAGCAGGUCAUAGUGAUCCGGUGGUUCUGAAUGGAAGGGCCAUCGCUCAACGGAUAAAAGGUACUCCGGGGAUAACAGGCUGAUACCGCCCAAGAGUUCAUAUCGACGGCGGUGUUUGGCACCUCGAUGUCGGCUCAUCACAUCCUGGGGCUGAAGUAGGUCCCAAGGGUAUGGCUGUUCGCCAUUUAAAGUGGUACGCGAGCUGGGUUUAGAACGUCGUGAGACAGUUCGGUCCCUAUCUGCCGUGGGCGCUGGAGAACUGAGGGGGGCUGCUCCUAGUACGAGAGGACCGGAGUGGACGCAUCACUGGUGUUCGGGUUGUCAUGCCAAUGGCACUGCCCGGUAGCUAAAUGCGGAAGAGAUAAGUGCUGAAAGCAUCUAAGCACGAAACUUGCCCCGAGAUGAGUUCUCCCUGAGACUUAGAGUCUCCUGAA
rnacentral:rRNA from 1 species